UUAACCUGUUUUUAAAAAAAAACUGAAGAAAGCUCUGAAGGGGAUAGAGAACAGGCCCUCAGAGCUCCGUCGAGCCUCCGUCAUCGGGCUCUCACGCUCCCACGAGCCACCGUCGACUUCGCCAUGUACGGCGGUCGGAAUUCGAAAAAUUUUCGCUUUUUACAGCGAAUAGAGAGGCGAGUGAAGAUCCGGUGACGAGGGUUGGCAUGUUGAUUACCGCGCGAGAUGAGGCCUGGUUGCUGACUUUGCGUGACGAUUGGGAUCAAGCUUACGGCGCAAAUGUUUCUGGAAACCCUAGGGUUUCCUGAUUUGAUUUAGGCAUUGGGCCAUCCUGGGCCUCGCUGAUUUGGGUCUAAUUUGGGUAUUCGGGCUAAGGGUUUUAGGUGUAUGUGGGCUACUAGUGUCUCUUGUAAAUGGGCCAUAGAUAGUGCUCAAGCUGGGCUAUGUAUAUAGGCUAUCAAUUUGGACUUGUAAAAGGACUUUUAUUAUUUUUUGUUUUUGUCUUUUAUUUAUUUUACGGACCGGGCAAAUUUGAGUUAUUACAA